UACGUAGGGUGCAAGCGUUGUCCGGAAUUAUUGGGCGUAAAGAGCUUGUAGGCGGUUUGUCGCGUCUGAUGUGAAAGCCCCGGGCUCAACCUGGGAACUGCAUUGGAAACUAACGGGCUCGAGUGUGGCAGAGGGGGGUGGAAUUCCACGUGUAGCAGUGAAAUGCGUAGAGAUGUGGAGGAACACCGAUGGCGAAGGCAGCCCCCUGGGCUAACACUGACGCUCAGGCACGAAAGCGUGGGGAGCAAACAGG
rnacentral:rRNA from 1 species